rnacentral:rRNA from 1 species
GUGCUAAGGUAGCAUAAUAAUUUGCCUCCCAAUUAGAGGAUGGAAUGAACGUGAAAACAAUAAGCAAAUUGUCUCUUAUGCUAAAUUAAAAAUUUAUCUGGGGGUGAAAAAGCCCCUAUACUAUCAAAAGACAAAAAGACCCUAGAAGCUUUUAAACCUAACAAUUUAUUCGGUAAGUUUUUUAGCUGGGAGGGCAAAAAGUUAUCAAUACACUUUUUUUCAAAAGAUAUUAAAUCGAAAAUACUUAACCCCAACAAGAAUAUAAGUAAGCUACUCUAGGGGUAACAGGCUAAUACUCCUUAAGAGUACACAUUGACAGGAGUGAUUGGCACCUCGAUGUUGGCUUAGGAAAAUUAUUUUAUGCAGAAGUAAAAAUAAUUGG